rfam:Medicago truncatula strain A17 chromosome 8, whole genome shotgun sequence.
CCCUUAACUAUUAAAAGUUUCGUUUUGGUCCCUUAACUUAUUUUUUGGUUUCGUUUUGGUCCCUUAACUUAUUUUUUGAUUUCAUUUUGGUCCCUUAACUCUAAUACAUUCAUCCUAACAUAAAGGACUAAAGGGGUUGACGGAGGAUGAGUUAAGGGACCAAAACGAAACCGAAAAGUAAGUUAACGGACCAAAACGAAGCUUUUAAUAGUUAAGGGGCCAAAACAAAACCAAAAAGUAAGUUAAGGGACCAAAACGAAACUUUUAAUAGUUAAGGGA